AACGAACGCUGGCGGCGUGGAUUAGGCAUGCAAGUCGAACGAUCCCGCAAGGGAUAGUGGCGAAAGGGUGCGUAACACGUGGGCAAUCUGCCCCCGAAACGGGAAUAACUUCGGGAAACCGAAGCUAAUACCUGAUGACACCGAGCUGCCGCAUGGUGGCACGGUGAAAGGCGUCCGCAAGGGUGCCGAUCGGGGAUGAGCCCGCGGCCUAUCAGCUAGUUGGUGAGGUAACGGCCCACCAAGGCGAUGACGGGUAGCCGGCCUGAGAGGGUGGUCGGCCACAUUGGGACUGAGACACUGCCCAGACUCCUACGGGAGGCUGCAGUCGAGGAUCUUCCGCAAUGGGGGAAACCCUGACGGAGCGACGCCGCGUGGAGGAUGAAGGCCUUCGGGUCGUAAACUCCUGUCAGUCUGGAAGAAAUCUGCAGCAAUGUGGAUUGACCGUACAGGCAGAGGAAGCUCCGGCUAACUCCGUGCCAGCAGCCGGGUAAUCUGU
rnacentral:rRNA from 1 species